rnacentral:rRNA from 1 species
UCAAGCUAAUAAGAGCGCAAGGGGAAUGCCUUGGCAUCAGGAGCCGACGAAGGACGUGACAAGCUGCGAUAAGCUACGGUAAGGAGCAAAUAUCCUGUGACCCGUAGAUUUCCGAAUGGGGCAACCCGGCUGGACAAUAUCCAGUCAUCCUGCAUUGAAUCAAAUAGGUGUAGGAAGGGAACCGCCUGAACUGAAACAUCUAAGUAGGGCGAGGAAAAGACAUCAACCGAGAUUCCGCAAGUAGUGGCGAGCGAACGCGGAAGAGGCCAAACCGGAGGAUUUAUUCUCCGGGGUUGCGGACAGCUAUACGGAACAAUAGUUUAGCCGAACGGUCUGGGAAGGCCGGUCACAGAGGGUGAGAACCCCGUAGGCGAAAGACGAAUUGUUUCAGGCUGGAUCCAGAGUACCGCAGGACACGUGAAACCCUGUGGGAAACAGGGGGGACCACCCUCCAAGCCUAAAUACUACCUGAUGACCGAUAGAGGAGCAGUACCGUGAGGGAAAGGUGAAAAGGACCCCGGGAGGGGAGUGAAAGAGAACCUGAAACCUUGUGCUUACAAGCAGUCAGAGCACGUUAACGUGUGAUGGCGUACUUUUUGUAGAACGGUCCGGCGAGUUAUAGUAACGAGCAAGCUUAAGGUAUUCAGUACCGGAGGCGAAGCGAGAGCGAGUCUGAAUAGGGCGUAAAGUUCGUUGCCAUAGACCCGAAACCGGGUGACCUAUCCAUGAGCAGGCUGAAGUGAGAGUAAAAUCUCAUGGAGGGCCGAACCGACCCCCGUUGCAAUGGUGGCGGAUGACUUGUGGAUAGCGGAGAAAUUCCAAUCGAACUCGGAGAUAGCUGGUUCUCCCCGAAAUAGCUUUAGGGCUAGCGUUAGUUUAGAUUACCGGAGGUAAAGCACUGAAUGGUUUAGGGGCUGAUAAAGUUACCGACGCCUAUCAAACUCUGAAUGCCGGAUAAUUGAUGACUAGCAGUCAGACAGUGUGAGAUAAGUUUCAUUGUCAAAAGGGAAACAGCCCAGACCCACAGCUAAGGUCCCAAAGUACAUUUGAGUGGAAAAGGAUGUGGGGUUGCAUAGACAACCGGGAUGUUGGCUUAGAAGCAGCCAUACAUUAAAAGAGUGCGUAAUAGCUCACCGGUCGAGUGACCCUGCGCCGAAAAUUCAACGGGGCUAAAAUGUACACCGAAGCUUGGGAUUGCAGUUACUGAACAAAGCAGAUUGAUGAAAAGGUUGAAUCUGGCCGAAGGCAAAAUUCAACUAAAAAGCUAAAAGUCAGUAAGCUUUGUUCAGUAACUGCAGUGGUAGGAGAGCGUCGAAUACGGGGUGAAGUCAGAGCGGAAGCGCUGGUGGACUGUAUUCGAGUGAGAAUGCCGGAAUGAGUAGCGAGAAUUAUGUGAGAAUCAUAAUGGCCGAAAGUCUAAGGUUUUGGAAGGAAGGUUCGUCCGCUUCCAGUAAGCCGGGAGCUAAGGUGAGGCCGAAAGGCGUAGCCGAUGCACAUACGGUUGAAAUUCCGUAGCCUCCGAAGUAUUUAAACAGAAGGACACUUGAGAAGUGAUGUUGCCGGGCGAUGGUUGACCCGGUCGUAAGGGACCGAAAUUUAGUAGGGAAGUCAUCAUGGAUCGAGGCGAGAAAAGUUCUGUGAAUAUACAAGGAGCCCGUACCGCAAACCGACACAGGUAGAUAGGAAGAAAAUUCUAAGGCCAACGGGAGAAGGGUUGUUAAGGAACUCGGCAAGUUGACCCCGUAACUUCGGAAUAAGGGGUGCUCUCGAGAGAGAGCCGCAGAGAAUAGGCCCAGGCGACUGUUUAGCAAAAACACAGCUCUAUGCUAAAUCGAAAGAUGAUGUAUAUGGGGUGACACCUGCCCGGUGCCGGAAGGUUAAGAGGAGGCGUGAGAGCGCUGAAUUGAAGCCCCGGUAAACGGCGGCCGUAACUAUAACGGUCCUAAGGUAGCGAAAUUCCUUGUCAGGUAAG